UACGUAGGGUGCGAGCGUUAAUCGGAAUUACUGGGCGUAAAGGGUGCGCAGGCGGCGUCGCAAGUCAGGCGUGAAAUCCCCGGGCUUAACCUGGGAACUGCACUUGAAACUACGAUGCUGGAGUAUGGCAGAGGGAGGUGGAAUUCCACGUGUAGCGGUGAAAUGCGUAGAGAUGUGGAGGGACACCGCUGGCGAAGGCAGCCUCCUGGGCCAAUACUGACGCUCAUGCACGAAAGCGUGGGGAGCAAACAGG
rnacentral:rRNA from 1 species